CUGUAAGUUCGCCAGACGGGUUCCGCGGCGGGUGCUUCUGCCGCGGACGAAAAGGGAAGCCGGUGCAAUUCCGGCGCAGGGCCGCUGCUGUGUUCGGCCAGAGGUUCGCGCUCCCACGCCACUGCGGGCAACCGCGGGAAGGCUGCGCGAGACUCGCUAAGAGCCGUGAGCCAGAAGACCUGCCCGUUGGCGAUUCCAACG
rnacentral:ncRNA from 2 species